rnacentral:lncRNA from 1 species
CCUAUCUUAUCUCCCACAUCCAUGCGGUGACCUGCCCACUGCUACCCUCUGUGGGAUUAAAAAAGGGGAGACUCCUUCAAAGAAACCAACGUUCUAAAUUCAAACCUGCUCCCUUCAUUCCAUGCCCCUUCUCCAGGACUCCACUUCCACAGAGAAUCAGGCACUGUGCCUGGUGUGCCAGGUAUUGGGCAUGUAACGAUUGGAAAACUUACAUUCUGCCUUCAAGGAACUUAAAAUCAGCCUGAGCACCUGCCAGUAUGCUGUAAUCAGACACACCACUUGAAUUUAUCCAAAGAUUAAAAAGAAGGAAGAAAUAAAGCAGAAAGAUAACUGCAGGUCAUGACAGAAUCAGCUGAUAAAAUACGCCUUGGAAGAAAAAUCUGUGAUUUAGGAAAAAGCUGGUAUUACAAUAAUUUCUUUUCAUAAUCUGACCUGACUGCACCCCUUGGAGCACAUUCCAUCUCUCAUGCAAUCAGCAGUGGCUCCAUCAAAGUCUUCCCUGUAUAAAUAUUAACUCAUCUUCAAAGAAGCGUGCAAGUAUGAAAUUCAAAUCUAUUUUGAUAUUCUAGGCAGGUAAUCGAUUAUAUCUGUUUGGUUCCCUAUUGCUGCCUCUCUGUGACCUUCAGAACUGAGAUCACUAAAACCCUAGAAGUUCAGCCUUGAUCAGUUUCUCAGGCUAGGCUGGUACCCCGGGACUUAGGGAUUUUUGUAAGGAGCCCCAAACUAACAGCACUCUGUCUCGGCUUCUGUUCAGAUUGCUGCAAGUCUGGCUCUGACCUUACUGUCUAAUAAAGAACGUAGGCUCACAAUUUGUAUUCUUGUCUUUCCCAUUUCCGUAAAUGAGCCCCAGUUUUUCCCCUUCUCCAAAUCAUCCCACAAUUGUAAUUCUGCCCAUGAGCGCCAGCCUCUCUGUAGGUACCUGCUACCCACUGUCUG